rnacentral:lncRNA from 1 species
UUUAACUUAAUGUUGAUUACACUUACUAUUUUACCUGUAUGUGUCUUGAAACAGAUAUUUUCUGGUCUAGUAAUACUUCCAAAAAAAAAAAUUGAUUUGUUGUUAGUUGGUUAUAUCCAUUAUACCUGAAUUCACAAUGGGUUAUAGCUUUUAUAGCAUACUACUCUACAUGUUUGUUAUUCUUAUGCCGUGCGUAAAUACAGCGUUUAUCAAUAAAGAUAACGUGAUUUUGACAGCUUGUGGCGGCCAUCUUUGUUUGCUAACUUGUGGCAAAUUUUGUCAGUAUGUUUUGAAGGCUUUUCCAUUUAAUCGUGUCAUGUUUCACUUGGUAGAAGAUUAUUUCGGAAAUUGACGUUCUUCACUGACUACUGUAAUCGAAAAAUCAUAUUCUCAGACCAGGCCCAUUUCGAGAAAUGGCCAAAUCAAAUGCCUAAGAUGCUGCGAUUUAACACCUCCAGACAUAUCAUUCUUUGGAAAAUCAAAGGUUUACGCAACGCUCGAAAAACUCGAAGACAACAUUCAGCGGACUAUAGCAGAAAUGCUACACAGCGUCAUCGAAAUUUGGCGUAAACGGGUUGAGGAGAUAUGAAAACCAUGGUUGCCAUUCGGAAGACAUUUUAUUUAAAUCUUAAAUGGCAUAAAAUUAUUUUCAUAACAAAAAAAAACAGAACACAUUUUGACAUCCUAUACCCUAUACAUAGGAUCUUUCUUACAUUUUUUAGUUAUAUAUUUGUGUAUUAUAUUUAUCUUUUUUUGAAUUCUUGCUUCUUGUUGGCAUACAGUAUAUGGAAAUCAAUGGCAUACAUAUACGGUUUAUAUUUGCAUACAAACGGAUACAUACACUCACGCUUACGUACUUGAGCAUAUUGCUACCUAAUGUGUGUUGUUCGUUUAUAUGUAGUUAGGUGAAAGCCUUUACGUAGGCUGCACGUUUGCGUGUGCAAUUAAACAUUUUGUAUAAUUCUGAGUAUGCCUACCCAUACUUGCAUAUAUGCAGUUUUUAAAUAUGCGCGAAAGCAUAUGUGUAUGUAUAUAUGUUUGUUUUAAAACAAAAUUUAUUUAGACAUUAAUAAUUUACCGUUCCAUUUAUAUACAAUUUCACUAUUUAAGUGACUUACACCUGGACGAGUUUUUACUAUAUAAUUACAAGUGUCUUACUUAAUUUUUCUGUUAUUCAUUUAGCUAUUUGCGAGAUUCGUUACUUAUGCAAAGAUCAAAUUGGGUUUAAUGUCUUUAACACUUUCUGCCGCUUAUUUCGUGUCAGGAAACUGUUUUUCAUACUUUUAAGGUUGCUGCUGCUCCUGCAACACAAGCUCUCCACUUAAUGUAUUCAAACGCGCAUGUAUUGUCACAUUUUUGUGUACUUUUAUAUCGAAUGCAUGUGAAAAUUACCGAGUACGAAGGAGUAGGUAAACAGGCGAACUAAUCGACGAAAGUUGGCAUUGCUGCGGUCACUGCUGACUCUAACGAUUGCAAACCAUGCGCACAACACAGUAAGACCGUUGUGGCAACGGUAAUCACAACGGCAACGACAAAAUAGACAAUAACAACGUUUUUACUGCAAUGCAGGACAUAUACCGAGAUAAACACAGUUUCAACCGUACACAAUAACAAUAUACGAACGUGAGAAGCAGAAAAAUAGGGACCAAUGUUUAUGUUGAAACAUUUCCAACUAAAAACGGUCAUUUGAAAUAUAUGAGAUAAUAGUUAUCACAAAAUUGGAAGCACUCACUGUGUGGUUAUCGUUUUAGGCGCAAUAUGCAAGUUCCUUAUGAAAAUAAGUAUAGGCAACACAUCCUUCUGACGUUUCUAUCCUUUUAAUCAUGUUUACACAAUACACAUACGAAUUUCUAUAUCAUACCUUAUAUGUACAUACAUAUGCAUGUAUUUUCACUUUUUUAAGUGAAUAUAUUAUAUGCAUAUAUACAUAUAUUUACUCAGUGAUGAAGGCCAUUUAUAUAUAGUAGCCCAUCAUUUUCCUUUUAUUAUUUUUGUUGAUAUAAUUUUUUCACUUCUUUCUCUACAAAUAAACGUAUUCACAGGGUUUCAACAUACAAGCACCAAUAAAAAUUUAAGAUGACGUUUUAAAUUGCUUUGCUCAACCUUUUUUUUUUGUAGCAAUAUUUUAUAAAACAUUUCGUAUUUUUCGCCACCGACCGCACAUCUAAAACCUUCCGUUCCUGUGGUAAUUUUCGAAAGUAAGUCUAAAUCCAACUGAGUUUCGAAAGCACGCGUAACUUGGCAUGCGCUCUGAUGGGGUCGAAGAGCAAAAUUUCUGAAGCAAAAUAACGAGUAGUAAAACAAAAUCAGCAUAUAUGAAGAAGCUCACCAACCCUUAGCCGUACCCAAUACUAUGUAACUACUCCUCGCCAACUACCCUUCGACAUGUGCGCAACCCCAGCACGAGCAGCGGACACUUUAGGAAAGCACUGGAGACAGGCAAAACUACAAAAACAACUAGGUUUAUAAUAUAUGUACAUACAUACAUACAUAUGUUGGGUACAUACAUAUGUAUGUAUGUUGUACGUUUAUGUACACCCUACAGAACCAAAUAGUUAUAAAUUGCUUUAGUGAUAAUGUGUACCACAGGUCCAACUAGUCAACCAACCAGAAUGCUAUUUUUCGCAUGUGUUGUACUAAAAUAAGUCAAUCGUGAUUUUCAGAUAUUAUAAAUAAUACAGAGAAAAAACAAACAAGUCAUGCUACGCUUUAUUUAGAAUUUCUUAAAUGAAAUAGUGCUAGUCAAAGGAACAAACUAGUCGGACAUCAGUUUGCAACAAGUAAAGCUGGUCGGGCAUUCGGCUACACAUCCGACUUAUACAAAUUUCAGAACAAUUUUCUAAUAUGCUAUUUAAUUUGACCAGUAAUUUUUUCGCUUAACGAAGGUAGAAAAAGUUAGUAUAUGUUUCAACUGCUAAGACUGGUAUAUGCCGUAUGCUAAUAACUAGUUCUUCUUAAAAAAAAACAAAACUUUAGGCAUUUUAUAACUAGUUGAUGUAGCUGUUGGGUAUCUACUUAUGCAUUAACUUAAGUGCACACCCGUUCAGGUAUGUAUGGUUACUCGCAGAAAUUUCGACGAGUAACAUCAAUUUGUUUGUGUUGAAAUUGGUCGUAUGCGGAAGUGUAGCAUAAUGCCAGGCCAAAGAAAAUUAUAAAGUGUGUAAUAAAAAAAACUUUAACGUUAAACCUGGGUGUGCAAUAAAUCAAUGUUAAACAGUUGGCGUACGACACGGCGAAAUAUAGUCGUCAGUUGAUUAUUUUGGUCAUAAUAAUAUCGCAAUCAUUUCUAAACCGACGAAGUGGCAUUUCGAGCGCUAUCUAUAGUUAAACUAGAAGCACGUAAACUCAGGGAUGCCAAUGAUAAAUUACUCCGGUACAACGGUUUUGGUGACGAAGUUGUGGUCAAUAGCAAAGAGGUGCUGUCAACAUUUGGCGCAGCACUGGUCAACCCGUUACAGAUGAUCGUCUUUUCAUUAGAAUUACGUAUGACUCUACCGUUCGCUGUACAAAAAGGCGCCAUAAUAUCGACCGUAUCGAUUGCCAGUAAACUGUCAGCAGCAGCGUCAUUCAUAUUUAAUGUGUUAGUGGGUUCACUGCCACAACCAGGACCACAACUGCUUUCAUUACCACAAAGAUGAAGUCGUGAGCUCAAUAAUU